rnacentral:rRNA from 1 species
UACAGAGGGUGCUAGCGUUGUUCGGAAUUAUUGGGCGUAAAGGGCUCGUAGGCGGCCAACUAAGUCGGACGUGAAAUCCCCAGGCUUAACCUGGGAACUGCGUCUGAUACUGGAUGGCUUGAAUUCGGGAGAGGGAUGCAGAAUUCCAGGUGUAGCGGUGAAAUGCGUAGAUAUUGGGAGGAACACCAGUGGCGAAGGCGGUCCCCUGGGCCGGAACUGACGCUGAGGCGCGAAAGCGUGGGUAGCAAACGGG